GACGUAGGGGGCGAGCGUUGUCCGGAAUUACUGGGCGUAAAGAGCUCGUAGGCGGGACGGUUAGUCGUGGAGUAAAUCCAACUGCUCAACGGUUGGACUUUCUGCGAUACGGCCGUUCUUGAGGACAGGAGAGGAAAGCGGAAUUCCGAGUGUAGCGGUGAAAUGCGUAGAGAUUCGGAGGAACACCAGUGGCGAAGGCGGCUUUCUGGCCUGAUUCUGACGCUGAGGAGCGAAAGCCAGGGGAGCGAACGGG
rnacentral:rRNA from 2 species